rnacentral:rRNA from 1 species
AUUGAACGCUGGCGGCAGGCUUAACACAUGCAAGUCGAGCGGAGACUUCGGUCUUAGCGGCGAACGGGUGAGUAAUACCUAGGAAUCUGCCUAUUAGUGGGGGAUAACGAAUCGAAAGGUUCGCUAAUACCGCAUACGUCCUACGGGAGAAAGGGGGGAGUCUUCGGACCUCUCGCUAAUAGAUGAGCCUAGGCCGGAUUAGCUAGUUGGUAGGGUAAAGGCCUACCAAGGCGACGAUCUGUAGCUGGUCUGAGAGGAUGGCCAGCCACACUGGAACUGAGACACGGUCCAGACUCCUACGGGAGGCAGCAGUGGGGGAAUAUUGGACAAAUGGGGGCGAAACCCCUUGAGUCCAGCCAUGCCGCGUGUGUGAAGAAGGCCUCGGUUGUAAGACACUUAAGUACGAGAGGAAGGUUUUAGUUUAAGUUA